GGCAAAAAGAGGAAAAGGGUCAGGAGGAGAGGUUCUUCCACAGCCAAAUAUGGAGAUAUUUCUAUAAACUGCAAGUUUUCAUACGAGAUUAAUCCAAAUAACUCACAGAGUUAAGCAGAUGUGCCCGCCAACACUGGUGCCACAGACACCCCGCAAUCUGACGUGAUGGAAGGGUCAGACCCGCCCAAGGCUUUAAAAGGGACCACAGAAAUCAGUCCCCUGCAGUCUUUUCUGGCGCUGCCUCCGCGAACAGAGAUGGGUUGGAUGUCGCUGCAAAACCAGUCAACCCAAGUGCAACUGCCACACAGACCCACUCCACUCCCUUAUCCGGGCUGUCAGAUGCAACAGAUGCAACAGAUGUAACAUCCCUUGUCCGCCGCUGUCAGGAGUAGCGACCACGUCCUGGGCUGUCUGACUUGCACAUGGACAGCCCUUUUAAAAAAUUCUAAUAAAACUUGAAGCAUA